rnacentral:rRNA from 1 species
GAUGAACGCUAGCGGCAGGCUUAACACAUGCAAGUCGAGGGGUAGAGGAAGCUUGCUUCCUUGAGACCGGCGCACGGGUGCGUAACGCGUAUGCAACCUACCUUUUACAGAGGGAUAGCCCAGAGAAAUUUGGAUUAAUACCUCAUAGUAUAUAGUCUUCGCAUGUUGACUAUAUUAAAGUUCCAACGGUAAAAGAUGGGCAUGCGUCCUAUUAGCUAGAUGGUAAGGUAACGGCUUACCAUGGCAACGAUAGGUAGGGGUCCUGAGAGGGAGAUCCCCCACACUGGUACUGAGACACGGACCAGACUCCUACGGGAGGCAGCAGUGAGGAAUAUUGGACAAUGGGCGCAAGCCUGAUCCAGCCAUGCCGCGUGCAGGAAGAAGCAUCUAUGGUGUGUAAACUGCUUUUGUACAGGAAGAAACACCCCGACGUGUCGGGACUUGACGGUACUGUAAGAAUAAGGAUCGGCUAACUCCGUG